GAUGAACGCUGGCGGCGUGCCUAAUACAUGCAAGUCGAACGCUGGAGCUCUAGCUUGCUAGAUCGAAGGAGUGGCGAACGGGUGAGUAAUACAUAAGCAACCUACCCACGAAGACUGGGAUAAUCUCUGGAAACGGGGACUAAUACCGGAUAGGUAAUCGGAAGGCAUCUUCUGGUUAUUAAAGGUUAAAAACACUGGUGGAUGGGCUUAUGGCGCAUUAGUUAGUUGGUGAGGUAACGGCCCACCAAGACGAUGAUGCGUAGCCGGCCUGAGAGGGUGAACGGCCAUAUUGGGACUGAGACACGGCCCAGACUCCUACGGGAGGCAGCAGUAGGGAAUUUUCGGCAAUGGGGGCAACCCUGACCGAGCAACGCCGCGUGAGUGAAGACGGCCUUCGGGGUGUAAAGCUCUGUUGUAAGGGAAGAACGGUAGAUAGAGAAUAUCUAAGUGACGGUACCUUACCAGAAAGCCACGGCUAACUACGUG
rnacentral:rRNA from 1 species